CGGGGUGGGCGGGCAGCCGCAGAGGCCGCGGAUGGGGCCUGGCCCGGGCCUCCGGAGCUGACCAGGCCGGUCGCCUCUCCGGAGCCCCGGCCCACCCCAGCCACCAGGCCCUUGGCCCCUCGGAGCCGAAUAUCCUGGAACCUCUCUUCCUGCCUCAAGUUACUCCUUUGGAACAAUCGUGAGAAUGGCCUCCCCAUCUUCAUUUCCAAUGGAAUGUUUCCCAUUUGCAUGGGUCCUGCUUAUCAGCUUUGAAAUCCAAAAACUCAGUUUUGUUAAAAUGCGCAGUGUGGUUAGCACGCAGCGUUAUACUAGUUUCCGGUGUACAGUCUAGUGACCCCACAGCUCCAUACCUCACUCAGUGCUCGCAACG